CCUACGGGGGGCAGCAGUGAGGAAUAUUGGUCAAUGGACGAGAGUCUGAACCAGCCAAGUAGCGUGAAGGAUGACUGCCCUAUGGGUUGUAAACUUCUUUUAUAUGGGAAUAAAACAGGGUAUGCAUACCCUCUUGUAUGUACCUUAUGAAUAAGGAUCGGCUAACUCCGUGCCAGCAGCCGCGGUAAUACGGAGGAUCCGAGCGUUAUCCGGAUUUAUUGGGUUUAAAGGGAGCGUAGGUGGAUUGUUAAGGCAGUUGUGAAAGUUUGCGGCUCAACCGUAAAAUUGCAGUUGAAACUGGCAGUCUUGAGUACAGUAGAGGUCGGCGGAAUUCGUGGUGUAGCGGUAAAAUGCUUAGAUAUCACGAAGAACUCCGAUUGCGAAGGCAGCUCACUGGACUGCAACUGACACUGAGGCUCGAAAGUGUGGGUAGCAAACAGGAUUAGAUACCCCAGUAGUC
rnacentral:rRNA from 1 species